rnacentral:misc_RNA from 1 species
AAGUCGUAACAAGGUUUCCGUAGGUGAACCUGCGGAAGGAUCAUUACAGAGUUCAUGCCUUCACGGGUAGAUCUCCCACCCUUGCGUAUAAAACUUUGUUGCUUUAGCGGGCUCUAGCCCGCUAGAGAACCCCAAACUCUGAAUAUUAGUAUCGUCUGAGUCUUAUAAAAUAGUUAAAACUUUCAACAACGGAUCUCUUGGUUCUG